rnacentral:lncRNA from 1 species
UCUGCAUCCACAUCAAAGGAAAAUAAGAUUAGAAAAACGACGACCAAUCUCUGGUUUAUUUUUUAAUGAUAAUUGGAGGAAUAAUUUUUUAGUUAUCUUUUUUUAAAAGAAGAAAAUCUCAUCCAAUGGAUAUGGAUUAGAACGAGUGUAAAGACCGUAAAGUUUUGAAGUGCACACACGUUACAGACCACAAGCAAAUGGACUGACGUAUGAAACUUAAAAUAUAAUUUAUACUUUCGCCAUCUGACUUUUAAAAUUGUUUUUUUUAUUAUAUAUAUAUGUGACAAAAGAGUUUUUAUAUUUCGAAAUUUGAUAUUUUCUUCUGAAAAAAUUAUUACAAGAGAUAAACACAGAUAGAGAUAUUACCUCUUUUGGUGGAGCAGGAGCUGCUGCUUUCUUCUCUCCUUCCUCUUUCUUCUUCUCAUCUUUCUUCUCGGCGGGUUUCUCAUCGGCGAGCUUCUUCUCAGCAGGUUUCUCAUCCGCCGGCUUCUUUUCACCGCCUCCACCGCCCGAAGGAGGAGGAGCCUCUUUCUUCGGCGCC